AACGAACGCUGGCGGCAGGCCUAACACAUGCAAGUCGAGCGGACCUUUCGGGGUCAGCGGCGGACGGGUGAGUAACGCGUGGGAAUAUGCCCUUCUCUACGGAAUAGUCCUGGGAAACUGGGGGUAAUACCGUAUACGCCCUUUGGGGGAAAGAUUUAUCGGGGAAGGAUUAGCCCGCGCUGGAUUAGGUAGUUGGUGGGGUAAUGGCCUACCAAGCCGACGAUCCAUAGCUGGUUUGAGAGGAUGAUCAGCCACACUGGGACUGAGACACGGCCCAGACUCCUACGGGAGGCAGCAGUGGGGAAUCUUAGACAAUGGGGGCAACCCUGAUCUAGCCAUGCCGCGUGAGUGAUGAAGGCCUUAGGGUUGUAAAGCUCUUUCAGCUGGGAAGAUAAUGACGGUACCAGCAGAAGAAGCCCCGGCUAACUCCGUG
rnacentral:rRNA from 1 species